rnacentral:tRNA from 1 species
GCGGGUGUGGCGGAAUUGGUAGACGCACCAGAUUUAGGUUCUGGCGAGGGUUUCCUCGUGGGGGUUCGAGUCCCUUCACCCGCACCA